AGGAAAUGCUUUAGCGGUUGGCAUUGAGUUCAUCGGAAGGGGAAGGGAAGAUUGGCUUCGACGUCGUCGUCGUCGCUGUUCUUGAUUUCGUCCUUCUUCUUUUUCUUUUAAGAGGUAAGCUCAUGAGUUCAAAAGUCAUGUUUUUUGGGGGCCAAAGUUGUGAGCUGUUAGGGUUUCGUGUUCGAUUCCGAAGAUUUCUCAUGUUUCGUUGUUGAUGUUGGAGCUUCUUUUGCAAUUUCUCGAAGGAAACGUUUUGGAUUUUGUGGGUUUUGAUGCUUCAUUUAUCAAACUUAGUCUUUGUUCAAAGGACUUAUUGUCGACGGAGCAGUAGUUGAGUUCGUAGGUACAUGCUCAUGUCCUGCUGUAUGAUCUUUUCCCCCCUUAUUUAUUGAUUGGAUCUGAUGUCUGUUCUCUUUCUUUGAUGUUUAUAGCUUAAAGAAACGCCAUUCCGUUUGCUUUCAUGCUUCAUUUUCAAGAAACCUAGGGGGACGUGGACCGUCUCCACGGUUGUACUACUCGAUCACUUGCUUGCCGCUUUCCAGAUGCCUCAUUUGAUUCUUGUUGGAGUCUUCUAAUUUGAUGCUUGCCGUUUUCUUGCUGAUCACUAGCUAAUCAUCAAAGUGGACAUACGUUAUUCUCAACAUAUAAUUUGUUUUGUUUUGUUUUUUUUUUCUUUUGGAUUCAAAAUGUCAUAGGUUUCUUUAUCUGUAACAACAGAGGUGAGAUGGACUCUUUUUCUGUAGCGAUAAAAGUGAAAUUAAGAGCUUGCUUUGUUUGCCAGCUUGGCUUUUCAAACACCCCCAAACGACCUAAAGGUGAAAAGGUUGUGUACAGAUAAGAAGUGCUCAAAUGGCCAUACUCUAUGUUCUGGAUGCAAACCUUGAGUUCACAGUCGAUGCCCCACUUGCAGGCAUGAGCUAGGCAACAUAAGGUGUCUUGCAUUGGAGAAGGUUGCAUCUUCUCUUGAACUGCCUUGCAAGUACCAAACCUUUGGUUGUUUGGGUAUAUAUCCAUAGUACUGCAAACUAAAACAUGAAUCACAAUGCACAUUCAGACCCUACACUUGUCCAUACGCUGGAUCUGAGUGCACAGUUGCCGGUGACAUUCCUUAUGUGGUGACUCAUCUAAAAGAUGACACGAGGUUGAGAAUGCAACCUGGAUGCUGAUGGUUUUCAGUUGCUUUGGACAGUACUUCUGCCUUCACGUUGUGGCAUUUCAGCUAGGUAUGGCACUGGGGGAUGAUAAUGAAGCUAAAUGCUACAGCUAUGGCCUCGAGGUUGGAGGUUAAGGAAGAUAACAUAACAAGGAGUUCCCCGAAGUAUAAGAGACAGUCAUUGGAAGGUGAGAGACGGUUACGAUGGACUCAUUAUCCAGCUUGAAAUAUGGCUCUUUUUUCCUCUUUGCUCACUUCAUGGGCUGGAGUACUGAGUACCUCCCUAGUCUUUGGAUGAUUAUGAUUUUGUAGGUGUCAUUAUGCGUUAUUAGAAGCAAAUCCCUUUGCUCCAUUGAUGCUCAAACUUGUUUAAAAUGUACUAGCACAUCUUUGAGGCUAUAAAUGCUAUAUGCUAGACAAGCAAAUCUUCAUGUCCAAUGCAUAAUUCUAUAUAUUUCACUUCCCUCUUCUGUUUC